rnacentral:misc_RNA from 1 species
UUUAGGGUUGUGGGGUUCCCCC